rnacentral:rRNA from 1 species
AUUGAACACUGGCGGCAUGCCUUACACAUGCAAGUCGAACGGCAGCACGGGAGCAAUCCUGGUGGCGAGUGGCGAACGGGUGAGUAAUAUAUCGGAACGUGCCCAGUAGUGGGGGAUAACUGCUCGAAAGAGCAGCUAAUACCGCAUACGACCUGAGGGUGAAAGGGGGGGAUCGCAAGACCUCUCGCUAUUGGAGCGGCCGAUAUCAGAUUAGCUAGUUGGUGGGGUAAAGGCCUACCAAGGCAACGAUCUGUAGUUGGUCUGAGAGGACGACCAGCCACACUGGGACUGAGACACGGCCCAGACUCCUACGGGAGGCAGCAGUGGGGAAUUUUGGACAAUGAGCGCAAGCCUGAUCCAGCAAUGCCGCGUGCAGGAAGAAGGCCUUCGGGUUGUAAACUGCUUUUGUCAGGGAAGAAAUCCUCUAGGUUAAUACCCUUGGGGGGAUGACGGUACCUGAAGAAUAAGCACCGGCUAACUACGUGCCAGCCGCCGCCGUAAAAC